rnacentral:lncRNA from 1 species
AGAUAAGAUAACUCAUAUUGGAGAGAAAUCUUACAAGUGUGAAUAAUGUGGUAAAGUCUAUAAAAAGUCCUGAAUUCUUAACAGACAUAAUAUUAUUCAUACUGGAGAGAAACUCUACAAACCUGAAAGAUGUGCCAACGCUUUUGACAAACAUCAAGAAAAUCAUGCUGCUGAGAAAUCCUAGAAAUGUGAAGAAUGUGACAAAGCCUCUAAAUGAUUGUCACACUUGAUCGUAGGUAAGAUAAUUCAUACUGGAGAAAACUACCAGUGUGAACAAUGUGGCCAAGCUUUGAACUAAUGCUCACACCUUAAUGCAUAGGAAAGCAUUUAUGCUUGAGAAAAAGUGAACAAAUAUAGACAAAAAGCCAUUAAUACCUGCUCACAUCGUACUCAAAUUCAGAGCGUUCAUACUAAAUAAGAAGUGUAAUUACUGUCAAACGACUGAUCAGAAAAUAUGUCUUUAAAGUACAGAAGAGUAUUUUGAAAAAGCAUUACAAAUAUGAAGAGGCAUUAUUUAUGACCUUUUCUAUGGAAAGACGGAGUCUUGCUCCAUCGCCAGGCUGGAGUGCAGUGGCGCGAUCUCGUCCCACUGCUCACUGCAACCUCUGCCUCCCCUAUUGAAGUGAUUCUCCUGUCUCAGCCUCCUGAGUAGCUGGGACUACAGGCACACACCACCACGCUCAGCUAAUUUUUGUAUUUUCAGAAGAGACGGGGUUUCAUCAUAUUCACCAGGCUGGUCUUGAUCUCUUGACCUCGUGAUACCCUCACCUCACCCUCCCAAAGUGCUGGGACUACAGGCGUGAGCCACCGCACCCAACCAAAUCUAUACAUUUCAAUGAAGGAUUUAAUUUAUUUAUAUUCAAGGUAAAUAUUAAUAUGUAAGGUUUUGUUACUAUCAUAAUGUUAAUUAUUUUCUUGUCUUAUUUUUUUAUCUGUCUUUGUAGUUUAAUAAAAUUCUGUCAUGUUGUGAUUUGA